UGGGGAAUCUUGGACAAUGGGCGCAAGCCUGAUCCAGCCAUGCCGCGUGGAUGAUGAAGGCCUUAGGGUUGUAAAAUCCUUUCGUGGGGGACGAUAAUGACGGUACCCCAAGAAGAAGCUCCGGCUAACUUCGUGCCAGCAGCCGCGGUAAUACGAAGGGGGCUAGCGUUGUUCGGAUUUACUGGGCGUAAAGCGCGUGUAGGCGGGUCGUUAAGUUGGGGGUGAAAUCCCGAGGCUCAACCUCGGAACUGCCUUCAAAACUGGCGACCUGGACUCAAGCAGAGGCAAGUGGAAUUGCGAGUGUAGAGGUGAAAUUCGUAGAUAUUCGCAGGAACACCAGUGGCGAAGGCGACUUGCUGGGCUUGUAGUGACGCUGAGACGCGAAAGCGUGGGGA
rnacentral:rRNA from 1 species